rnacentral:lncRNA from 1 species
CCAUGAGAAAUAUUUUUCUCUACAUUCUUUGUUAAGCAUACACAAGUAUCUUUCGAGAGGAUUGGAGAUUCUACUAUAUGUACGAGAUGGAAGAGGAAUAUACAUCUACUGGCUCAUCAUAAAUAUAUAUCUACUGGAUCGUUGCUCUUCAGAGACACUCUCUUGGAGCUUAACUUUCCUUCUACUACUUCAUCUUGGUUAAACAAUUUUUCAAGAAGAUAGCAUGUCGGGUCACAAUCACAUUGUAAUUCUUUCAGAAAGUAGUAUUCCAAACUCUUUUAGGAUGAACUUUAUAGA